UUUGUAUUCAGAUAUCGCAGAUCAGAUUUAUUCGUUCAUUGUGUAAUCAUACGUUUUUUGAUUGAGUUAAGUCUGCCAAUUGAUAUUUUAUCGUAUGUUUUUCUAUGUUGUGAUGUUAUGCUAUUGUUUCAGAAAAAGGGAGAAGGUCUGGAUCCAUUAAAACGUUUAAUCCCGCUGCAAAUGUUUGCACCUGUCCUAAGUC
rnacentral:lncRNA from 1 species